CAUUUUCAUUGUUAAAGGAGUAGUUCAGUGGUUCUCAAACUUUUUCAGGAGGAGGCCCCCUUGUGUAGGGUGAAUCCUUUAGUGGCCCCCCAAAAGAAAACUCAUAACGAAAACAUCCUCAAACGUACAAUUUUACUUACAAAUUUUAGAUUGUACCAAAAACAAAUGAAUUUGUACAAUGCUGG